AUCGACUCUUAUUUUAUCAU
rnacentral:snRNA from 1 species